UGCGGUUCUCAGGUGACAGAUCCCAGAAUCGGGCUCCCUCCUCUCUAGUUCCAGGUGCAUCACCCAAGAACCACA
rfam:Myotis brandtii contig197339, whole genome shotgun sequence.